UGCAAUGUGGCUAAAAUUGAGACACAGGUCAUGCUUCCAUCAGAGUAAAUGUUUACAGUGGUGAUAAUGAGACUUAAAACAUUU
ensembl:snoRNA